GGCUCUGUGGCCUAAUGGAUAAGGCGUUGGCCUCCGGAGCCAAAGAUUGAGGGUUCGAGUCCCUCCAGAGUCG